rnacentral:rRNA from 1 species
AGCUCCAUCAGUGUACAUUAAAAUUGUUGCAGUUGAAAAGCUCGUAGUUGGAUUUAUGCCAAGACUGACUGGUCCAUCCUUUGGUUGAGCAUCAGAGCUGUUAAAAGCAAACUAUUGAACAUUGCGGACGCACUUAACUGUGCGGCGCCCUGUCCAAGCUUGCCACCUUAACGAAUUUAUUGUGCUUCAAGCAGGCAGAAGCCUUGGAUAUACUAGCAUGGAAUAGCAUGAUUAUACCUUAGUUGUAAUAUUGGCUCCUGGACGAAGGUGAUGAUGGACAGGGACACUUGAGGGCAUACAGACUCAACUUCAAGAGGUGAAAUUCUGAGAUUUGUUGAAGAUGCUCCACUGUGAUAACAUUUGUCAAGAAUGUGCCCA